GGGAGACAGUAAGCCCCACAACCAUGCAGAUGGGACCGUAGUCUCUACACUGCCAGCACAGGGGGUAGGGACGGUCGGUCCUGCCCCCCCAGCGACAGGGCUGUUUAGCCAAAGGGGAGACAGUCGGUCUCCCCCUCCAGCAGCAGAGAUGGGUAACCAAAGGGGAGACGGUCGGUCUCCAGCAGCAGGACUGUGCAUCUAAAGGGGAGACAGUCAGUCUCCAGCAGCAGCAGCAGAGCGGUGUAUUUAAAGAGGAGACAGUCGGUCUCCCCCUCCAACAACCAGGCUUCCA